rnacentral:rRNA from 1 species
CGGGGGGAGCAAGCGUUGUUCGGAAUCACUGGGCGUAAAGGGAGUCUAGGCGGUUUGGUAAGUGGGAUGUGAAAUCCCCGGGCUCACCCCGGGACCUGCAUCCCAAACUGCUGAGCUUGAGUACAGGAGAGGGUGGGGGAAUUCCAGGUGUAGCGGUGAAAUGCGUAGAUAUCUGGAGGAACACCGGUGGCGAAGGCGCCCACCUGGCCUGCUACUGACGCUGAAGCUCGAAAGCUAGGGGAGCAAACGGGAUUAGAUACCCCGGUAGUCCUAGCCGUAAACGGUGAUCACUAGGUGUUGGGAGCAUCGACCCUUCCAGUGCCGCAGCUAACGCAUUAAGUGAUCCGCCUGGGGAGUACGGCCGCAAGGUUG